rnacentral:rRNA from 1 species
UGGCGGACGGGUGAGUAACGCGUGGGUAACCUGCCCUGUACAGGAGGACAACAGUUAGAAAUGACUGCUAAUACCGCAUAAGCGCACAGGACCGCAUGGUCCGGUGUGAAAAACUCCGGUGGUACAGGAUGGACCCGCGUCUGAUUAGGUAGUUGGCGGGGUAACGGCCCACCAAGCCGACGAUCAGUAGCCGACCUGAGAGGGUGACCGGCCACAUUGGGACUGAGACACGGCCCAAACUCCUACGGGAGGCAGCAG